rnacentral:rRNA from 1 species
CAAUAGCGUAUAUCAAAGUUGUUGCAGUUAAAAAGCUCGUAGUUGGAUUUGUGGCGUACGGUGUGUUCCGGGCACUUGUUGUCUGAGUAACCUGCUGUUGCCAUCCUUGGGUGGAACCUGUGUGGCAUUAGGUUGUCGUGCAGGGGAUGCCCAUCAUUUACUGUGAAAAAAUUAGAGUGUUCAAAGCAGGCUUAUGCCGUUGAAUAUAUUAGCAUGGAAUGAUGAGAUAGGACUUUUUUGCUAUUUUGUUGGUUUGCGCAAAGAGGUAAUGAUUAAUAGGGACAGUUGGGGGUAUUCGUAUUCCAUUGUCAGAGGUGAAAUUCUUGGAUUUUUGGAAGACGAACUACUGCGAAAGCAUUUACCAAGGAUGUUUUCAUUAA